GCCUGGACAGUUCUGGAACAACGUCCAUCGGACAGAUGAGACAAAGAUCAACUUGUACCAGAAUGAUGAGUAGAAUAUGGAGAAGGGAAGGAACUGCUCAUGAUCUGAAGCAUACCACAUAAUCUGUGAAGCAUGGUGGAGGUGGUGUUAUGGAGAAGGGAAGGAACUGCUCAUGAUCUGAAGCAUACCACCUCAUCUGUGAAGCAUGGUGGAGGUGGUGUUAUGGUGUGGACAUGUAUGGCUGCUAAUGGAACCGGUUCCCUUGUAUUUAUUGAUGAUGUGACUGAUGACAAGCGGCAGGAUUCAUUCUGAAUGGUUUAGGACUAAUGUUAUUAUCUGCCCAGAUUCAGCCAAAUGCAAAGGAGUUGCCACCAAGUAUUAAAACUCACAAUUUAAUUGA